AACGCAACUUGCGCCCUUUGGUAUUCCGAAGGGCAUGCCUGUUUGAGUGUCAUGAAACUCUCAAUCCCUCGGCUUUAUGACCCGAGUGUGAUUGGAUUUGGGCGUCUGCCGGUCACACGGCUCGCCUCAAAAGUGUCAGUGGGGACAAGCAUCUCACGCCGGGAGUAAUAAGUUUCUUCUGGUAUGGUGAUUGGGCCUGCUCAUAACUCGACCUUAUGGUCAAUACUUUUGCUCUGACCUCAAAUCAGGUAGGACUACCCGCUGAACUUAA
rnacentral:misc_RNA from 1 species